rnacentral:rRNA from 1 species
UACAGAGGUCCCAAGCGUUGUUCGGAUUCAUUGGGCGUAAAGGGCUCGUAGGCGGCCAACUAAGUCAGACGUGAAAUCCCUCGGCUUAACCGGGGAACUGCGUCUGAUACUGGAUGGCUUGAGUUUGGGAGAGGGAUGCGGAAUUCCAGGUGUAGCGGUGAAAUGCGUAGAUAUCUGGAGGAACACCGGUGGCGAAGGCGGCAUCCUGGACCAACACUGACGCUGAGUGAGCGAAAGCCAGGGGAGCAAACGGG